CAAGCAAAAAGUAUACCCAAAGAGCACCGAUCAUUGAAAAGGUACUAGGUUGUUGCGGAAAAAUAAAACUAAGAAACUAGUGCCUCUCGAAAUGGUUAUCUUCAAGAAGAAAGCAGGCGCCCUAUUUUUGGCAACUCUCAUGGUCAUGGCUACUCUUCUCUCCUCAUGCGAAGCGAACAAUAAGAUACAAACAGAUGCUCUCCCCCUACCUUCGAAGUGCUAUGAGUUGGACUUACCUAACUGCACGUUGGAAUCAUGCAAGAAAUUUUGCGCUGGAGGAAAGUGCAGUUCCUACGAUGGCUGUUGCUGCCCCAUUGCCUAAGACACCACAAAAAUGUUAAACAAAAGGCUCGCAUAAUAAAAUAAUUUCCUACAUGCAUAUUACAUAUAUGUAUGUGCUAGCUCUGGCACAUUCUAAUCCUAUAUCUAGCCUACUCGUACAAUUAAAGCAAAGCCUGUUCUUUCUUCGGUAUUGCGAUUGAUAUGGAUGGAGCUACUCUAAAACCCCUGGUUCCUAACUCAGGCGACUUGCCCGAUACUAUCCUGUCGAAAAAACCGAACCUUAUCUUUUUC